UGGACUAAUGACAACAGUGUGUUUUAAAUCAAGGAUUAUGAUUAAUCCAAUUCUGUGUACUCAAGUUCCCC
rnacentral:snoRNA from 1 species